UACGAGGGGAGCAAGCGUUGUUCGGAUUUACUGGGCGUAAAGGGCGCGUAGGCGGCGUGACUAGUCACUUGUGAAAUCUCCGGGCUUAACUCGGAACGGUCAAGUGAUACUGUCGUGCUAGAGUACAGAAGGGGCAACUGGAAUUCUCGGUGUAGCGGUGAAAUGCGCAGAUAUCAGGAGGAACACCGGUGGCGAAGGCGGGUCUCUGGGCAAUAACUGACGCUGAGGAGCGAAAGCGUGGGGAGCGAACAGG
rnacentral:rRNA from 1 species